UCCCGUUAGUCUCUCUCUACAGACAGGUUCACUCUACUGUUAGUCUCUCUCUACAGACAGGUUCACUCUACUGUUAGUCUCUCUCUACAGACAGGUUCACUCUACUGUUAGUCUCUCUCUACAGACAGGUUCACUCUACUGUUAGUCUCUCUCUACAGACAGGUUCACUCUACUGUUAGUCUCUCUCUACAGACAGGUUCACUCUACUGUUAGUCUCUCUCUACAGACAGGUUCACUCUACUGUUAGUCUCUCUCUACAGACAGGUUCACUCUACUGUUAGUCUCUCUCUACAGACAGGUUCACUCUACUGUUAGUCUCUCUCU